GAUGAACGCUGGCGGCGUGCCUAAUACAUGCAAGUCGAGCGAACGGACGAGAAGCUUGCUUUUCUGAUGUUAGCGGCGGACGGGUGAGUAACACGUGUAUAACCUACCUAUAAGACUGGGAUAACUUCGGGAAACCGGAGCUAAUACCGGAUAAUAUUUUGAACCGCAGGGUUCAAAAGUGAAAGACGGUCUUGCUGUAACUUAUAGAUGGAUCCGCGCUGCAUUAGCUAGUUGGUAAGGUAACGGCUUACCAAGGCAACGAUGCAUAGCCGACCUGAGAGGCUGAUCGGCCACACUGGAACUGAGCCACGGUCCAGCCUCCUACGGGAGGCAGCAGUAGGGAAUCUUCCGCAAUGGGCGAAAGCCUGACGGAGCAACGCCGCGUGAGUGAUGAAGGUCUUCGGAUCGUAAAACUCUGUUAUUAGGGAAGAACAUAUGUGUAAGUAACUGUGCACAUCUUGACGGUACCUAAUCAGAAAGCCACGGCUAACUACGUG
rnacentral:rRNA from 1 species